rnacentral:rRNA from 1 species
AAUCAACGCUGGCGGCGCGCUUAACACAUGCAAGUCGAACGAGAAAGGGGAGCAAUCCCUGAGUACAGUGGCGUACGGGUGAGUAACACGUGGAUGAUCUACCUCUUAGUGGGGAAUACCUCUGGGAAACCGGAGACAAUACCGCAUAAGCCUGUGAGGGGAAAGCAGCAAUGCGCUGAGAGAGGAGUCCGCGGCCGAUUAGCUAGUUGGUAGGGUAAAGGCCUACCAAGGCAAAGAUCGGUAGCCGGCCUGAGAGGGCACACGGCCACACUGGCACUGAAACACGGGCCAGACUCCUACGGGAGGCAGCAGUGGGGAAUCUUGCACAAUGGGGGAAACCCUGAUGCAGCGACGCCGCGUGAGCGAUGAAGCCCUUCGGGUGUAAAGCUCUUUCGACGGGAACGAUGAUGACGGUACCCGGAGAAGAAGCUGCGGCUAACUACGUG